AGUCUCGGGGUGUAAUCACGUGAGAUUGCAAAUCUCAAGAAGCAGGUUAACGACCUGCCGAGGCUU
rnacentral:tRNA from 1 species